UACGGGGGGGGCAAGCGUUGUUCGGAAUUACUGGGCGUAAAGGGCUCGUAGGUGGCCAACUAAGUCAGACGUGAAAUCCCUCGGCUUAACCGGGGAACUGCGUCUGAUACUGGAUGGCUUGAGUUCGGGAGAGGGAUGCGGAAUUCCAGGUGUAGCGGUGAAAUGCGUAGAUAUCUGGAGGAACACCGAUGGCGAAGGCAGCCUUCUGGGCCAACACUGACGCUCAUGCACGAAAGCGUGGGGAGCAAACAGG
rnacentral:rRNA from 1 species